UACGGAGGGUGCAAGCGUUAUCCGGAUUCACUGGGUUUAAAGGGUGCGUAGGUGGAUUGGUAAGUCAGUGGUGAAAUCUCCGGGCUUAACCCGGAAACUGCCAUUGAUACUAUCAGUCUUGAAUACCGUGGAGGUCAGUAGAAUAUGUCAUGUAGCGGUGAAAUGCUUAGAUAUGACAUAGAAUACCAAUUGCGAAGGCAGCUGGCUACACGAAUAUUGACACUCAGGCACGAAAGCGUGGGGAU
rnacentral:rRNA from 1 species